rnacentral:rRNA from 1 species
CGUAGGCGGUUCGCUAAGUUGGAUGUGAAAACUCUGGGCUCAACCCAGAGCCUGCAUCCAAAACUGGCGGGCUAGAGUUCUGGAGGGGGUAGCGGAAUUCCUGGUGUAGCGGUGAAAUGCGUAGAUAUCAGGAGGAACACCGGUGGCGAAGGCGGCUACCUGGACAGAAACUGACGCUGAGGCGCGAAAGCUAGGGGAGCAAACA